rnacentral:rRNA from 1 species
UGCGUAGGUGGUUGGUUAAGUUUGAGGUGAAAGCUCCGAGCUCAACUCGGAAAAUGCCUUGAAGACUAUCUGACUAGAGGAUUGGAGGGGAGAUUGGAAUUCUCGGUGUAGCAGUGAAAUGCGUAGAUAUCGAGAGGAACACCAGUGGCGAAGGCGAAUCUCUGGACAAUUCCUGACACUGAGACACGAAAGCCAAGGGAGCAAACG